CAGAGGUCUCAAGCGUUGUUCGGAUUCAUUGGGCGUAAAGGGUGCGUAGGUAGCGCUGUAAGUCGGGUGUGAAAUUUCGGAGCUUAACUCCGAAACUGCAUUCGAUACUGCGGUGCUUGAGGACUGGAGAGGAGACUGGAAUUCAUGGUGUAGCAGUGAAAUGCGUAGAGAUCAUGAGGAAGACCAGUGGCGAAGGCGGGUCUCUGGACAGUUCCUGACACUGAGGCACGAAGGCCAGGGGAGCAAACGGG
rnacentral:rRNA from 1 species